GUCGUCAGCUCGUGUCGUGAGAUGUUGGGUUAAGUCCCGCAACGAGCGCAACCCUCGACCUUAGUUGCCAGCAUUCAGUUGGGCACUCUAAGGUGACUGCCGGCUAAAAAGUCGGAGGAAGGUGGGGAUGACGUCAAAUCAUCAUGCCCCUUAUGACCUGGGCUACACACGUGCUACAAUGGUUGGUACAACGAGUUGCGAGUCGGUGACGGCGAGCUAAUCUUUUAAAGCCAAUCUCAGUUCGGAUUGUAGGCUGCAACUCGCCUACAUGAAGUCGGAAUCGCUAGUAAUCGCGGAUCAGCACGCCGCGGUGAAUACGUUCCCGGGCCUU
rnacentral:rRNA from 1 species